rnacentral:tRNA from 1 species
GCCGAGGUAGCUUAGGGGCAAAGCGGCGGACUGCAGAUCCGCUGACGUGAGUUCAAAUCUCACCCUCGGCU